CCCAGACUCCUACGGGAGGCAGCAGUGGGGGAUAUUGCACAAUGGGGGGAACCCUGAUGCAGCGACGCCGCGUGGGUGAAGGAGCGUUUCGGCGCGUAAAGCCCUAUCGGCAGGGAAGAAGGAGGACGGUACCUGACUAAGAAGUCCCGGCUAACUACGUGCCAGCAGCCGCGGUAAUACGUAGGGGGCAAGCGUUAUCCGGAUUUACUGGGUGUAAAGGGGGCGCAGACGGCAGCGCAAGCCAGGAGUGAAAGCCCGGGGCCCAACCCCGGGACUGCUCUUGGAACUGCGCGGCUGGAGUGCAGGAGGGGCAGGCGGAAUUCCUGGUGUAGCGGUGAAAUGCGUAGAUAUCAGGAGGAACACCGGUGGCGAAGGCGGCCUGCUGGACUGCGACUGACGUUGAGGCCCGAAAGCGUGGGGAGCAAACAGGAUUAGAUACCCCCGUAAC
rnacentral:rRNA from 1 species